rnacentral:piRNA from 1 species
UCCUGUAACUCUACCCAGAACAUGGGU